ensembl:lncRNA
ACGCAACUUGGGGCCACCUGGCCUAGUAGCUGCUGCUACGCGUCCUGGCCGAGGGGUAGCGGGACCGCAGGCGGCUGGAGUGGGGAAGGGUGACCGCCGCCGUCGUUUCUUCUCCGUGGGUGGCUACAGAGUGCCCUCAAGUAACCCGGAGGUUGAGGGCCCCCCAGUGCGCGGCUGCCGGGGGUCAGGACGCGGGACUCCCCUCUACCGCCAUGGUCUGGCAGUGUGGGGGAGCGCUCAGGGACAGAGAUGCGGCUGCAGAUGUGUGCUUUCUCCUUGCUCCCGACUGCUGACUUCAUUAUUCAAAUACGCAGCCGAAACCAUGGAUCUUGCAGCAAAUAUGCACUGGAAUUAGGAGUCUCACCCUUUGCUGGCCUCUGCAGCUACAGAGAUGAUUGGUCACAUUCUCAUGGGUGAAGAAAUGGACAAGCUGAUUCUAAAAUUCAUUUGGAACUGCAAGGGACCAGAAGAACCAAAGCAAUCUUCAACAAGAACAAUGUUAGAAGAUUCACUUCUCCAUUUCAAAACUUACUACAAAACUAUAGUAAUCGGCGGGGUGCAGUGGCUCAUGCCUGUAAUUCCAGCACUUUGGGAGGCCGAGGCAGGCAGAUCACUUGAGGUCAGAAGUUUGAGACCAGCCUGGCCAACAUGGUGAAACCCCGUCUCAACUAAAAAUACAAAACUUAGCUGGGUUUGGUGGCAAGUGCCUAUAAUCCCAGCUACUCAGGAGGCUGAGGCAAGAGGAUUGCUUGAGCCUGGGAGGCGGAUGUUGCAGUGGGCUGAGAUCGUGCCACUGCACUCCAGUUUGCCUGGGUGACCAAGUGAGACUCUGUCUCAAAAACAAACAAACAAAAAAACAACAACAAAAAGUAUGUGUAUAUAUAUAUGAGAGAGAGAGAGUAAUCAUUACUGUGUGAUAUUGGCAUGACUAUAGAUACAGAAUAGAAUUGAAAGUCCAGAAAUAAAUCUAUACAUUUAUGUUAAUGUCAAUUGAUAUUGAAUGUUUGCCAAAAACAUUCAAUGGAGAAAGAAUAGCCUUUUCAAUAUAUGGUGCUGGGUCAACCAGAUAUUCACAUACUAAAGAAUAAACUUGGACCUCUAUCUUAGGGCUAAUAUGAAAAUGAACUGAAAGUCAACUAAAUAACCUAAAUGUAAGAGCCAAAUCUAUAAAACUCUUAGAAGAAAACAGGUAAAAAUCUGCAUGAUCUUAGAUUAGGCAAUAUUUAGAUUUGGCACUAAAAACAUAAGCAACCAAAGAAAAAAAUAGAUAGAUUAGACCUCCUCAAAAUUAAAAAUAUGCAUCAAAGGACACUACCAGUAAAGUAAAAAGACAACUCAUUGAAUGGGUAAAAAUAUUUGCAAAUUACCUGUGUCAUAAGUAUUGAGUAUAGAGAAUAUUUAUGAGCUCUUAUAACUAAGCAGAAAAAGAUAACUCAAUUUGAAAAUGGGCAAAGGAUUUGAAUAGACAGUUUUCUGAAGAAGAUAUGCAACUGGCCAAUAAGCACAUGGAAAGGUACUCAAUACUAUUGGUCAUCAGGGAAAUACAAAUUCAAGCCACAAUGAGGUACCACUUCACAUCCACUAGGAUGAGUACAAUAAUAAUUUAAAAAAAAUAAGUGAUGGUGAGAAUGUAGAAAAACGAACUUUCAUACAUUGCUGGUGAGAAUAUGAAGUGGUGCAGCUACUGUGGAAAAGUUUAGCAGGAAUUCAGAACGUUAAAUAUAGAAGUACCUUAUGACGUAGCACUUCUGCUUGUAGGUACUCAAAGGAAAACAUAUGUCCUCACAAAAACUUGUACACAAAUGUUCAUAACAGGCUGGGUGCGGUGGCUCACGCCUGUAAUCCCAACACUGUGGGAGGCUGAAGCGGGUGGAUCAGUUGGGGACAGGAGUUCCAGACCAGCCUGAUCAACACGGUGAAAACCCGUCUCUACUAAAAAUACAAAAAAA